rnacentral:rRNA from 1 species
AUCACAAUGCGGAACAAUGUUUUGCAAUUGGAUUGAGAACAACGUACAAACCUUAUCGAUAAACAAUUGGAGGGCAAGUCUGGUGCCAGCAGCCGCGGUAAUUCCAGCUCCAAUAGCGUAUAUUAACGUUGUUGCAGUUAAAAAGCUCGUAGUUGAAAUGAAGGGUAGUUGUGUAAUGAAUACAUUCGUGUAUUUUGUUAUUCUACUACCCUCCUUCUAAAUUCGAUAUAUGAGUAUUAAUUUACUUGUAUAUGGUUUUAGACCUUUACUGUGAGAAAAUUAGAGUGUUCAAAGCAGGCAUUUGCUUGAAUAUAUUAGCAUGGAAUAAUCAUGUAUGAUUUUCAUGAUGUAUUUGAUUGGUUUGGUUCAUGAGAAUAAGAUUAAAAGGGACAGUUGGGGGUAUUCAUAUUCAAUAGUCAGAGGUGAAAUUCUCGGAUUUAUGGAAGAUGAA